ACUUGGUUUGGUUUAGGACUUUGUUGUGGGCGAGUGAAUCGAAAUCUGUGGAGAGAUAUUUGAGGAAUUCAGAAAUGGAUGAAUCCAAUGAAGAACUGGAGCCGCUUUUUGAUUACAGACGUGUUCAGCCUUUCAAUACUCCCUUCAAUGCUGUCUGCCUUGACGAUGAUACUCCAGACUCGUCUCCAGUUAUCUCUAAGAAACGGAAAAUGAUCGAUUCUACUGCUGAAAAGAAAAAAGACAAAAAUGAAGCAGUUCAAAUAAUUGACUGCGAAGAAAAAGAAGAGGAUUGGCUGCCACCUUCCCCAAGCAUUUCUGCUCAUACUAGUAGCCUUCUUGAAGAUUCAACUAUAAAGGAAAUUAGAUUAAAAAAGAAAGAGCUGGCAACAUUUGCCCAAUCAGCUAAGGAUGAGCUGCGAGAUGUUGAAGAAUCUGUAAAAAGAGAUCUUAGUGCUUCGCUCCAUUCACUUCAAGAUAGUGUUGCUGAUAUUCUGUCAAAACCGUCAAAACCAUCAACUGACAGAGUUAAAAUGGUCAUUUCUAUCCAAGACAAGGAUGGAACGAAGCAAUUUCGCGUUUAUGCGGAUGAUAAAUUUGAGAGGUUGUUCAAGUCGUUUGCUGAUAAAGUCAAGCUUGAGCUGCAAAACUUGGUUUUCUGCUUUGACGGGGAUAAAAUUAAUCCAAAUGCAACUCCCAGUAGUCUCGGAAUGGAGGAUGAUGACAUCGUUGAAGUGCAUGAAAAACCAAGUUGUUGAGGUUUGAAGGUGUGGAUUUGUAACUCAAGAGGCAAGCUUAAAAGAGUGUACAAACUGUCAAAAUGGUUCAUUUUUGUUUGAAUGUUAGACAAAUGAGUUAGUUAUUUGGAAAAAGAUUAUGUAAACCUACUGAUAUUUACAUCGUGGGAUGUGAAGACUAUUUUGUACUGGAUUGCAAAUUUUGUAUUAGAAGCAG
rnacentral:misc_RNA from 1 species